AGACUCUUCCUUCAGAAUGAAAGUUCUCCUCUUGGCUGGCCUUUUGAGCACUGCCGCUGCUCUGCCCAUCCCUCUUGAACCAUCUGGAGGAAGUUCCAGUGGACAGAGAUUGGGUUUUUACCCGCCACAAGGACCAUCAUUUUUUCCUCAGAUCCUGUUUCCCCCACCUCCACAACUGCCCUUGGUAAACAUGGGUUUGGGGACUCUCAAAUUGCAAACAAACAAACAAAUUAAAAAACCACUUAUUAGUUAGAUGAUAGUUAUUAAAUUUAAAAUUGGGGGCUUUCACAUGUUGCCAGGCACGAGCUAUUCACACCCUCUCCCCGCACAGCCUGCGGUGGAGUGUGACAAGGAGCUAGCAAAUUUUCCCCAAAAUUUUUGGUGACUUCUUUCAAUGUCCUUCUAUACUUGCCAUCAAAAAGGUGUUUAUACUGAAUUUCCUUUGACUGUGAUGAGCCUAGUUGCACUUCAUGAAGGAUAUACUAAACUCUUUCUAUAAUACCUGUUCUUUUUCUAAAUCAUCUUGCUACUUCCUUUUUUCUAAAAAGUUUUUGUUUUUUCAGCUUUCUCCCACAGGUCAAACAGUAUAAUUAUU